CUACAUAAUUCCGAAAUAUUUUAUGCCGAAUUUUAGAAUAUCGAAUUUUAUUAUUCCGUUUUUUAAAUGCUCGACCCAUCAAAAUUCCGACUGUCGUAAUUACGAAAGAUGAAAAUCACGAAAGUGUAUAUUUCCGAAUAGCAAAAAAGACGAUUUUUUUAAAUUCCGAACCACAUAAUUCCGAAUAUAAAAAUUCCGAUAGUGAUAAACGCCGAAUUUAACAUUUACGAUUUUUGAAAUCACGAAUUCCGAAAUGCCAUUAUUCCGAAAAUUUGAAUUCCGAUUCCACGUGACACCUAUUUUAAAUAUCCCCAUUUUUUAAAUUCCGAAUUUAUCGAUUCGUCGCAGUUCUAACCUAACCUAACCCACUUUUCUGGCAACAGUUCGUUUUCUUGGGGGUCGCAGUUCUAACCUUUUUUUUUUUUUUUUUUUUUUUUUUUUUUUUUUUUUAUUUUUAUUUGGGGGGAAAAUGCAUUCCGCAUACCACACGGGUGCGAGGGGUGACCCGAGUGGUUAUGUGGGACUCCCGUCUAGGCUAAUGAGGCCCACGGUAUACCCACUAAAAACCCCCCAUAUGCCGCCUCGCCGCCCUAUUGGUGGGGUUACGGGAACGCUUGCGUGCUCAUCCGCGACCCCACCGGCGGCAGCCGCCUACGAGCGGCUCCUUCGCGAAUUCCCGAAGGCCCUUCACGUUAGGCGCGCCAGAUGGUUCGGCGCGCCUUCCUCCUCGGCCUCCGUUCUGCACUGUAGCGGACCCCCCCGAGCCCGCCACAAGGAAGCCACGGACGCCAGAAAAUUCCCCGGCGCCCGGCGACAGAUCAGGUCUAUGGUCCUGCCGCAAUACCACAACUCGGCUGCAGAGGAUAGGGAGAACGGCACAUCGUAACACCGACACUCCUCUUCCUCUGCAGCCCCACCAACGCCGCUACAGCGGAACGGCCCCGCCAAGUUCGCAGGGGAUAGGGAGAGUGGCGUAUCGUAAUACCA